rnacentral:sRNA from 1 species
CGCAAUCAUAAGCAGGAGAAACACCUGGUCUUCUUCAGCACCUGUGCCUGUGUGGAAUACUAUGGGAAGGCUCUGGAAGUGCUGGUGAAGGGCGUGAAGAUUAUGUGCAUUCAUGGAAAGAUGAAAUAUAAACGCAAUAAGAUCUUCAUGGAGUUCCGCAAAUUGCAAAGUGGGAUUUUAGUGUGCACUGAUGUGAUGGCCCGGGGAAUUGAUAUUCCUGAAGUCAACUGGGUUUUGCAGUAUGACCCUCCCAGCAAUGCAAGAUCUUGAUUUUGCCAGCCUUGCUCAAGGUUUUGCCCUGCUGAGGAUGCCCAAGAUGCCAGAAUUGAGAGGAAAGCAGUUUCCAGAUUUUGUGCCCGUGGACGUUAAUACCGACACGAUUCCAUUUAAAGAUAAAAUCAGAGAAAAGCAGAGGCAGAAACUCCUGGAGCAACAAAGAAGAGAGAAAACAGAAAAUGAA